rnacentral:rRNA from 1 species
UACGAAGGGGGCUAGCGUUGCUCGGAAUCACUGGGCGUAAAGCGCACGUAGGCGGAUUGCUAAGUCAGGGGUGAAAUCCUGGAGCUCAACUCCAGAACUGCCUUUGAUACUGGCGAUCUCGAGUCCGGGAGAGGUGAGUGGAACUGCGAGUGUAGAGGUGAAAUUCGUAGAUAUUCGCAAGAACACCCGUGGCGAAGGCAGCUCUCUGGGACGGUACUGACGCUGAGACGCGAAAGCGUGGGGAGCGAACAGG